UUUUACAGUCCUAAAUCUAAAGGGUUAAUUAAACCCCUAUAUAAGGAAUUCCGUCUUCUCUUUUCUCUCUCGUUUCUCACCUUCUAAAUUCGUUGGAGAGGGAGAGGAAGAAGAAGAAGAAGAAGAAGAAGAAGAGGAGAAGAAAAUAAAGGUAAAGGAGAGGAGCUUGUGGGAGCUGAUGUCCAUGUUUCCUGCAUCUGCCCCUGCUGCUGUACCAAAAUAUUUACGAUGAGUAUACUACUUUGAUUUCUUCAACUUAGUAGUGUAAUGCAUGAUCAGCCAAGUUCUCAGCCAUGUAGCCACCCAGAACUUGGAAUUAUGGAUUGCAUCCAUAAUACUUGGUGUGGUUCAGCUGCAGAGAGUGAAGAAGUGUCAUAUGCAUGCUGACUUUGUUAAGUGGGUAGUGUACAGACCUUGGGAAUUAUCUCUGCAUCCAUCUAUGAACUGGGAUUAGGCUUUGCACGCAUGGGAUUUUCAUCCUAGGGCUGGAAACCCAGCUGCUGAGACUAAAUUGGUGAAGUAUGUUUGUUAUUCAUAUAAUUUAGGCAGUGUACAUACCUAUAGUCCAUCUCUGUAGCCGCCCACAAGUUGGGCAUAGGAUCUACAGGUAUGAGAACACCAUCCCAGAGCAGAGAAUGCCAUCCCAGAACUGAAUUUACUGUGCAGAGUGGGUUCAGAGUCCCAAACCCAUCUCUGUCCUAUCUCUAUAAACCUUAAAAAUUGGGGAUUCUCACCUACAUGACUGGGAUUAUGAAAUUGGAGGUGGGAAUUGAAUGCUUACUUACUGAAUUGCUCAACUGACCCACCAAUUAGGGAGGUUAGUAAAAUAGAGGAUGAAAUGAGUUUGUUUUCUCAAUUUCCCUCUCUGAUUUCUGUCUAAUUCUCUGAAUUGGAGUCUAAUUGGGACUAACACUUGGUAUCAUCAUAUUCUUGGAAUUAUUCAGUUCAAAUUGGGGGCUGAUCAUGUUGGUUGUCCCAAAUCAGUAGUACAAACAUUGUGUAUUGCUGAAUUUCAGCAAUGACCUAUAUGUAUGGGUUUGUGAUUGUUUCUGCUGAAUUUGGAGGGGAUAUCCACAUGGAUUUUACCCCUACGGUAUGGAGUAUGUCCACAUAGUAUGAAGGACCUUAGGGAAGUGAGAAAAGUACCCAAAGAAGGCAGUACCCAUCAGCCAGGGUGGGGUUUCAGUAGCUGCUAGGGGUUGCUGGAACACCUCCACCGGCAGGUGCCCUGCUGCUGCCCGGUGGCCUUGGUGCCCACUUGCAGAUCAGGGUUCUUUCAGGCUGAUUGGCCUCUAUUUUUGCACCCGGUGCCCACCCACCAGUAGGGACUGUCACCUGCCGGUGAUCCCUACAAAGCUUAUUAAGGGGGCUAAUAUGUGGGGCCUGUGUGGGUCUAUAAAGGGGUCUGCAUAUAGGUUAGUAUAGGGCUGUAUAGAGGGGUUUUGAUUAGGGUUGUUAGUAGAUAGAAUAUUUUUUAAAAUUGAUAAUUGUGUUGUGAUAAAUGACUAGGAACCUAAUCUACAUGGCGAGGAUACACGAUGACGGGAAUUCAACGAAAGACGGUUGGAUUCAAGUUUUGAGAUGGUGGAAUCGGUGUUGAAGCAGGGUUGGAUUUCGGCAGCAAUUGUGAAACUAUGUCUGUGGGACAUUUGGAUGUUGAUGGACAUCUCUUCUCUUAAUUUAACUAUUUGCUUAUGUAUACCUAUUGAAUUGUUUUGUAACAUAUAAUAUUGUAACCAAUAGGCCAUUCUUAAAUGGGUCAUGUAUAUUUGUAAUUAUCUUCUUGGUGAAUCACCAGUAGUAUAAUGUUUGUAUGAUCUUAUACAUGUACUCUGAUUUUAACUAGUGAUUUUGUGGCAUUUGUGAGGUAA